CCUAUUUUCGUGUGGAGUUCUUAUAUCUGGAAGAAAAGUUAUUAAAAAAAAAAUUAUACGCUUGAAUCAUCCUGUAUUAAUGCUCAGUUUUUCAAUGCAUAAUUUUAUAUUUUACAAGAUCAAACAAGAACAAAUUUAUUGUUAUGCCCCCCUUCGAAGAAGAGGGGGUAUAUUGCUUUGCACAUGUCGGUCGGUCGGUCUGUCGGUCGGUCCGUCCACCAGGUGGUUUCCGGAUGAUAACUCAAGAACGCUUAGGCCUAGGAUCAUGACACUUCAUAGGUACAUUGAUCAUGACUCGCAGAUGACCCCUAUUGAUUUUGAGUUCACUAAGUCAAAGGUCAAGGUCACUGUGACCCGAAAUAGUAAAAUGGUUUCCGGAUGAUAAUUCAAGAACGCUUAUGCCUAGGAUCAUGAAACUUGAUAGGUAGAUUGAUCAUGACUCGCAGAUGACCCCUAUUGAUUUUCAGGUCACUAGGUCAAAGGUCAAGGUCACGGUGACCCGAAAUAGUAAAAUGGUUUCCGGAUGAUAACUCAAAAACGCUUAGGCCUAGGAUCAUGAAACUUGAUAGGUAGAUUGACCAUGACUCGCAGAUGACCCCUAUUGAUUUUGAGGUCACUAGGUCAAAGGUCAAGGUCACGGUGACCCGAAAUAUUAAAAUGGUUUCCGGAUGAUAACUCAAGAACGCUUAUGCCUAGGAUCAUGAAACUUGAUAGGUAGAUUGCUCAUGACUCGCAGAAGACCCCUAUUGAUUUUCAGGUCACUAGGUCAAAGGUCAAGGUCACGGUGACCCGAAAUAGUGAAAUGGUUUCCGGAUGAUAACUCAAGAACGCUUAUGCCUAGGAUCAUGAAACUUCAUAGGUACAUUGAUCAUGACUGGCAGAUGACCCCUAUUGAUUUUCAGGUCACUAGGUCAAAGGUCAAGGUCACAGUGACAAAACAACAUAUUUACAAAAUGGCUGUCACUACAACUGAGAGCCCAUAUGGGGGGCAUGCAUGUUUUACAAACAGCCCUUGUUGGAAUAUCCUUUUAUCUAUUUAUGCCUUUUCUUGUUCCUCAACUGGCCUGUUCACCAAUCAAAUGAAUAUUUGCAAAAAGCAGAAUCCAACAAUGUUUCCUGCUCAUUAAUGUAUGUAAGUUAUGCACACUGAUAGACGUUAUAUGUUGAGCCAUAUCUCGGUAAAAUCAUGUGAAUAAUGCAAUAAGUAAAUUGUGUUGUUGUACAUUUAGCUUUAGUAUCAGUUUUUGCACUGGCUAUUGAUGAAGUACAUUGUAUCUUCCUACAUACAGCCAACCAGUCCCAGCCAGUCCUACACAUACAGCCAACCAGUCCCAGUCAGUCCUACACAUACAGCCAACCAGUCCCAGUCAGUCCUACACAUACAGCCAACCAGUCCCAGCCAGUCCUCUAUACAGCCAACCAGUCCCAGCCAGUCCUACAUACAGCCAACCAGUCCCAGCCAGUCCUACCCAGAGCUGAAUUGUACAAACUGCUGUCAUCAAAGUUGCCUUAAUCGUUCCCCAGUGAUCUCUUCUUAACAAGUACAUAAAAAUGAUAUAAUUGUGUAGUUUCCUUUAAAGACCCAGCCAGAUGUCCGUGUACAACUGCUUUUGUCCUAACCACACCCCUGCAAUAAUUCAGGAGGGCAAAUAAAGUACAUGUUAAUGAAAUUUACAUAUUCUGCAGGUGCCAGUUGAGGGAAAAACUUUUUGAAAAGGUUGACAGUACUUUUCCUUAUAUAAAUGUACUAAAACCUUUCAAUUUCUUCUUGCGUAGAACUGCAAAGCCUAGAGGAUUGGUAUUUGGAAUGUAACAUCACAUACCUAUGGUGUUUCUCAAUCAAGUUUGUUUAAAAAACUGGCCACUCCCAGGGGUCACCAGAUUGAUAUAGAUUUAUUUGCAAAUAACUUUCAAGUAUUCAUACAUUAAACUGAAAGGAUUAUGGGUUUGAUAUAAGAUGUACAGUAUUGUAUAGUGGUUCUCUACUAAGUUUUAUCAAAUCAAGCCCUUGGGGUCAAAAUUAGCCCUACCCUCAGGGUAACUUGUUAUGUUUUUGAGAAAAAAUUAAUUAAUCAGUUCUAAAACUAUCUCACGCCAUAUCAAAUCUGCUAAUAUUUCAUGCACUGGAAUAUUUUUGCAACUUUUUAAACUGCCAGUUUUAUCCAAAACUACAAAUAAUUGUGAACUAACGGAUUAUUUCAAAUGCAAAAGAUGACAAUUUUACCCCCCACAAAAUUGAACUGUGCAGACUGUAGCUGUAUACACUUGAAUAAACUACUAUAAAUGCAAACAUCGGCCAUUAAGAAACAAAAACACAGGACUAUGUUUCGUAGACACUACGUUAAAUAGAAUUGUUAUUGCUUGUGGUGCUUUGACUAUUUAUGCAUGUAUUCAGCUUGUAUUAUAGGAUUUCCACCAUUCCAUGUUGAUUUGUUUUGUAUUGAAAAAGAUGCGAUUUUUAAUUUAUCACUUUUAAUUGGUCAGUUUUUGAGUUUUCGUUUUUCAUGUGCCCAUUAAUGAGUGGAAAUUCUGACUUCAUCUAUGAUGUUAUAUUUAAAGCUAGCCAUUUGGAGCUUAAAGCCAUACACACAUCAGAAAGACAUAGUGUUGUUAAUUGACUGAUUAAUAAUGAUACUACAAACAUAAUUUUCAAUUAUAAAAUGGUUUAACAUAAUAAUGCAAUUUUAAUGUGAAAUACUUUUGUUAGGGUCCCCAUCCAGACACAGGACUAAUUUAUAUGUGGCUUAGCUAUUAUAAGUGUGGUCUUUUGCAAUAGAAAAUUUUGAGUACAAUUGAAUUAUGUUUGAAACAUACAUGUGUACAUCUUUGAUGUUGCAGUUAUUUUAUGAGUAUGGUCUUGUAUACUGUAGUCAAUAAAUUUGCUUGAUAUGGACUUGUUUUUUAAUAGAAUCAUGUUUUUUUUAAUAAAUAAAACUUAUUACAUCCA